rnacentral:rRNA from 1 species
UACAGAGGGUGCAAGCGUUGUUCGGAAUUAUUGGGCGUAAAGGGCGCGUAGGCGGUGCGGUAAGUCUGCGGUGAAAUCUCCGGGCUCAACUCGGAAAUUGCCGCGGGGACUGCCGUGCUGGAGUGUGGGAGAGGUGAGUGGAAUUCCCGGUGUAGCGGUGAAAUGCGUAGAUAUGACAUAGAACACCAAUUGCGAAGGCAGCUCGCUACACUAUUAUUGACACUGAGGCACGAAAGCGUGGGGAUCAAACAGG